AUCCCUUUUUAGUUAUACCAAUUGUAAGCUUUCUAUUGUACUUUUAUAGCCACCUAUCGGAAUAAAUAAAAACUUGCGCGAACAUGUAUAAUUUAAGGCGAAUUAACUGGAUUCAAAAAUAAAUUAAACCUUCGGUAAGUUGCGGAAAUUUCCACAAAUUACUUUCUACCUGCUCUUUUGUGUGGAAAGCCGAGUCAGUGGAAAGUAUUGUUCCAAAUUAGUCCGCCAGAGCUGACCAAUAAAAAAAUAAUCUCUAUAGAAAACGUACAUUAUAAGGUGGAAAUUGCGUCGUAGCAAAAAGGUUCAACCAAGCUAUUUGCGCGUCGCUCGAUUUAUUCUGGUGGAGUCAGUUAUCAAGUAAAGAUCAAGUUUGGAAGUGAUCCUUAAAUUUUUUGAAAGUGAUUCUAGUUAUAGCUUAAAACUAAAUUCGAAAGUUCGGAUAGAUUAUACAAAAAUUGAAUUUAACAUAAAGUGAAUUGAGUGUAUUUUGAAUAUUCAGGCGUCAUUAAGCCCAUCCAACGUGGGCUGCUAGUCUGGACUGGAUUGGUUCGUCCAGAUUGGAUUGUUGUUGUCAGGCCUGGAUUCGGUUUUUUGGACUGCAUUAGCCGAAGGUUGUUCCGGCUACGAAGUCUAGCACGUGUGAUUGUGGGGUUGGAAAACUCCC